AUUGAACGCUGGCGGCAGACCUAACACAUGCAAGUCGAGCGGAGCGGCGGACGGGUGAGUAAUGCCUAGGAAUCUGCCUGGUAGUGGGGGAUCACGUCAGGAAACGGGCGCUACUACCGCAUACUAUGAGACAAUCCGAGGUCGGAAUAGCUAGGUGGGGGGGGAAAUGCCUACCAAGGCGACGAUCCGUAACUGGUCUGAGAGGAUGAUCAGUCACGCUGGAACGAGUACACGGUCCAGAUUCCUACGGGAGGCAGCAGUGGGGAAUAUUUGACAAUGGGCGAAAGCCUGAUCCAGCCAUGCCGCUUGUGUGAAGAAGGUCUUCGGAUUGUAAAGCACUUUAAGUUGGGAGGCGUUACCAACAGAAUAAGCACCGGCUAACUUCGUGCCAGCAGCCGCGGUAAUUC
rnacentral:rRNA from 1 species